UUUCCUACGGGGGGCAGCAGUGGGGAAUAUUGGACAAUGGGGGAAACCCUGAUCCAGCGACGCCGCGUGAGUGAAGAAGUAUUUCGGUAUGUAAAGCUCUAUCAGCAGGGAAGAAAAUGACGGUACCUGACUAAGAAGCCCCGGCUAACUACGUGCCAGCAGCCGCGGUAAUACGUAGGGGGCAAGCGUUAUCCGGAUUUACUGGGCGUAAAGGGAGCGUAGACGGCAUUGCAAGUCUGAUGUGAAAGCCCGGGGCCCAACCCCGGAACUGCUCUGGAAACUGUGCGGCUAGAGUACUGGAGGGG
rnacentral:rRNA from 1 species